ACCAUAGCAAACGCCUUACGAAUGAAUCGGAUACUCGUGAACAGACAGUAAGUGCUUCGAGAGACGCUGUGCGCACACUUCUCGCUGCCGAAAGCCGUCUCGUCCAGGAUGCAUUGAAGCGGACACACACAGCCUGCAGCGAAGAACAACGCGACGGACAUUGCUCUACUCCACUUGGCAUCCUCUUAGACCCCCUCGUGAGCCUUGGCCGACGCCUGGCAAUGCUGGUUGGCUGCACUCGUAUCUGACGAGCCCGGCGACGUCUUGCUGCAGCGGUAGCCUUGAGUGCCAGCAUCAGCGCAGUUCCAUCCGUGCUGUUUUGCACACGAGCCAGCUCCUCUCCAAGGCCCUUCAGAAUCUCGAGAAUCUUCUGAUGGUCUCGUCAAGCUUCGCCGAUGCCCAUGGGGUGUGGAAGAAACCAAGUAAUGCAAACAAAACACAGUUUUACUUCAUUUGUAUAUUUAUUCACUUAUUUAUAAAUAAUAAAAUCACCAAACUUGAUUUUAAUGACUUUGGUACAAUAAUCACAUACAUGGCAGUAACAACACACUAAUAAUGCAAAUUAAUCAAUCUCUCUUUUUUUUUGCUUGCAAAUGGUGCUUUCAUGGCUUAUCGAGCCACCUUUGCUGCUUUU